GGGUAGACAUGCAUAUAAAAAUGAUAAGUUGUCUUUUACAGAUCACUGCUGAAGUUCCUUGAUACUCGACUUACAGCCACACCGUGCUGGCUAGAACCCACCUUAGUGAAGUUGAUGUGGUUGGUUAUUUUUUCUCACUGGUCUGCCUUUUUCAUUCUUAUUCUGUUUUGAAACUCAUUAUAGUUAAACUGGGAUGAUAGCGUAGCUGUUGGGGACGGUCCGUAUUUCCAGGUGUUGAUUUUAGAAAGCUUUCAUUUUUUAAGAUGAUGGUGUUGCAAAAUAUUCUUGAAGUUUCUUUUUUUUUCAUUGUAGGGCCGGGGAAAUAAAAAUAGUGGAGAUAAUUUCCAUGUUGCCCCAAAUAAUGAUCAUUCACAAGAGUUCAUCAGAGAAGAUAUUUGGAAACAGACUAGGUAUGAUGGAUGGAGGUUAGAUUGUGUACACGGAUCGUGGAAUAUGUUUUAUGAACCCGUCUGCAAUUUCGCGGGCUGAUCAACGCAAACCCAAACACAUCGAGGAUGCAAGUAGAGCGGUUGCAGAUCGAUUGUAUAAAAGAAAGGGCAAUGACAUCAUCCUAUUGCCCUACAAAUCUACAAUCCUUGGUUUGAUUUUCCUUUUAAAUAAAUAUUCGUAAAGACCUAUUAUCUUAAUUUAUUUUGAUUGAAUUUUGGAUUUUGAAGAAACCAUUGGGUGUUGGAAGUACUAAACCUGAAAACAACUACCUGCUAUUAUCUUGAUUCCUUACGGCCUAGAAGUGUCGAUGAGCAGUUGAGGCAAAUUAUUGAUACGGCAAUGGCCGUCUAUGCUUUAGAAAGUGGUAUCAACAUAAGGGUUAAACUCGUAUGGAUUAACACUAGGUGUCCACGUCAGCUAGGAGGUACUGAAUGCGGCUACUAUGUGAUGAAGUUAAUGAAGGAGAUAGCUUACGAAGGAGUUGAAAUACUUGACAAUGAUAAUAUAAGUUUAGGCAUAUUUUAGUCUGUAUAUUAGAGAAAUAUGUACUUAUAUAUCCAAACAAAUGCUUAAAUUCAUAUAUUAUGAUUAAAAUCUGAUUUUUAAGAUUUAUUUUAUUUAAUUGUUGUCUCAGGUUGGGAAAGGAGUAGAGGAAUACUCGGCUGCGGAUAUGGAUGACAUUCGUGUAGAUUGGUCGACUUAUGCGGUUAACUCUAUUUUUAAGUUAUAAAUCGUAUUUUAGGUGUUGAUAAUGUAUUGAUAAACAAUUCUUUUUUUGUUAACCUUAAAAUAUUUGUAGUAUACUUGACAAAUGAUUAUGUAAAGGAU